rnacentral:tRNA from 1 species
AGCCCCGGAGCCUUUUAGGGCUCUUCUUUAAACUUGCAUUUUAAUGUGAAACACUUCGGAGCUU